UACGGAGGAUGCGAGCGUUAUCCGGAUUUAUUGGGUUUAAAGGGUGCGCAGGCGGCACGGCAAGCCGGCGGUCAAAUCGCGGGGCUCAACCCCGCCCAGCCGUCGAAACUGGUGGUCUUGAGUGGAUGAGAAGUACGCGGAAUGCGUGGUGUAGCGGUGAAAUGCAUAGAUAUCACGCAGAACUCCGAUUGCGAAGGCAGCGUACCGGCAUCCAACUGACGCUGAGGCACGAAAGCGUGGGGAUCAAACAGG
rnacentral:rRNA from 1 species